rnacentral:rRNA from 1 species
CCUACGGGGGGCAGCAGUGAGGAAUAUUGGUCAAUGGGCUUACGCCUGAACCAGCCAAGUCGCGUGAGGGAAGACUGCCCUAUGGGUUGUAAACCUCUUUUGUCAGGGAGCAAUUGGCGCUACGUGUAGCGUUAUCGAGAGUACCUGAAGAAAAAGCAUCGGCUAACUCCGUGCCAGCAGCCGCGGUAAUACGGAGGAUGCGAGCGUUAUCCGGAUUUAUUGGGUUUAAAGGGUGCGCAGGCGGAGGCACAAGUCAGCGGUAAAAUCGCGGGGCUCAACCCCGCUCCGCCGUUGAAACUGUGUCC